CCUACGGGAGGCAGCAGUGAGGAAUAUUGGUCAAUGGGCGCGAGCCUGAACCAGCCAAGUAGCGUGAAGGAUGACUGCCCUACGGGUUGUAAACUUCUUUUAUAAAGGAAUAAAGUGCGGCACGUGUGUCUUUUUGUAUGUAAUUUACGAAUAAGGAUCGGCUAACUCCGUGCCAGCAGCCGCGGUAAUACGGAGGAUACGAGCGUUAUCCGGAUUUAUUGGGUUUAAAGGGUGCGUAGAUGGGUUGUUAAGUCAGUGGUGAAAUUUUGGGGCUCAACCGUAAAAUUGCAAUUGAUACUGGCGGUCUAGAGUACAGUUGAGGUAGGCGGAAUGCAUGGUGUAGCGGUGAAAUGCUUAGAGAUCACGAAGAACACCGAUUGCGAAGGCAGCUUACUAAACUGCCACUGACAUUGAGGCUCGAAAGUGUGGGGAGCAAACAGGAUUAGAUACCCGGGUAGUC
rnacentral:rRNA from 1 species